rnacentral:rRNA from 1 species
AUUGAACGCUGGCGGCAGGCCUAACACAUGCAAGUCGAACGAGUGGCGGACGGGUGAGUAAUGUCCGGGAAACUGCCUGAUGGAGGGGGAUAACUACUGGAAACGGUAGCUAACACCGCACACCAUCGGAUGUGCCAAGAUGGGAUUGGCUAGUAGGUGGGGUAAAGGCUCACCUAGUCGACGAUCCCUCGCUGGUCUGAGAGGAUGACCAGCCACACUGGAACUGAUACACGUUCCAGACUCCUACGGGAGGCAGCAGUGGGGAAUAUUGCACAAUGGGCGCAAGCCUGAUGCAGCCAUGCCGCGUGUGUGAAGAAGGCCUUCGGGUUGUAAAGUACUUUCAGCGGGGAGGCGUUACCCGCAGAAGAAGCACCGGCUAACUCCGUGCCAGCCGCCGCGGUAAUAC